CGGUGUCGAGAGACGGGAGUGUAAUCG
rnacentral:piRNA from 1 species